rnacentral:rRNA from 1 species
UACGAAGGGGGCUAGCGUUGUUCGGAAUUAUUGGGCGUAAAGCGCGCGCAGGCGGUCCUUUAAGUCUGAUGUGAAAGCCCACGGCUCAACCGUGGAGGGUCAUUGGAAACUGGGGGACUUGAGUGCAGAAGAGGAGAGUGGAAUUCCACGUGUAGCGGUGAAAUGCGUAGAGAUGUGGAGGAACACCAGUGGCGAAGGCGACUCUCUGGUCUGUAACUGACGCUGAGGCGCGAAAGCGUGGGGAGCAAACAGG